AUCUUCCGCAAUGGACGAAAGUCUGACGGAGCAACGCCGCGUGAGUGAUGAAGGUUUNNNGAUCGNACAACUCUGUUGUUAGGNAAANACAAGUAUCGGAGUCACUGCCGGUACCCUGACGGUACCUGACUAUAAAGCCACGGCUAACUACGUGCCAGCAGCCGCGGUAAUACGUAGGUGGCAAGCGUUAUCCGGAAUUAUUGGGCGUAAAGCGCGCGCAGGCGGUUUCUUAAGUCUGAUGUGAAAGCCCACGGCUCAACCGUGGAGGGUCAUUGGAAACUGGGAAGCUUGAGUGCAGAAGAGGAGAGUGGAAUUCCAUGUGUAGCGGUGUAAUGCGUAGAGAUAUGGAGGAACACCAGUGGCGAAGGCGACUCUCUGGUCUGCAACUGACGCUGAGGCGCGAAAGCGUGGGGAGCGAACA
rnacentral:rRNA from 1 species